GGAGGAUCCAAGCGUUAUCCGGAAUCAUUGGGUUUAAAGGGUCCGUAGGCGGUUUUGUAAGUCAGUGGUGAAAGCCCAUCGCUCAACGGUGGAACGGCCAUUGAUACUGCAAGACUUGAAUUACUAGGAAGUAACUAGAAUAUGUAGUGUAGCGGUGAAAUGCUUAGAGAUUACAUGGAAUACCAAUUGCGAAGGCAGGUUACUACUAGUGGAUUGACGCUGAUGGACGAAAGCGUGGGUAGCGAACAGGAUUAGAUACCCUGGUAGUCCACGCCGUAAACGAUGGAUACUAGCUGUUGGAAGCAAUUUCAGUGGCUAAGCGAAAGUGAUAAGUAUCCCACCUGGGGAGUACGGGCGCAAGCCUG
rnacentral:rRNA from 1 species